rnacentral:lncRNA from 13 species
AUGGGUUUCAGUAGGCUGUUAGGGGCAUCAGAGAACUCGGCAUUAAGGACCUCGAAAAAACAGAAACUAGCAAAGCAUGCUGACAGAUUAAUAAAAGUUCUCAAAAUGUGCUUGUUUCACCUUUGCCCUUGCAACAUGACUGUAAUUUUCCUGAGGCCUCUCCAGCCAUGCUUCCUGUACAUUCUGCAGAACUCAUGAAAUUCAGCCUCCCAACCUGAUUGUUUUUACUGUGUUUGGUCAGCGUGGAAAGCUUCCAGACAAGAUGUUUGUUCACCUUGGAACUUCCAUUUACAAACCAUGCAGCUCAUU